rnacentral:tRNA from 1 species
GCGGGAAAACGGCCGUGAGGUUCAUAACCAAAAGACCCAAGGCUCAUAACCUGAAGGCCGCAGGUUCAAAUCCUGCCCCCGCA